rnacentral:rRNA from 1 species
GAUGAACGCUGGCGGCGUGCCUAAUACAUGCAAGUCGAGCGAACGGACGAGAAGCUUGCUUCUCUGAUGUUAGCGGCGGACGGGUGAGUAACACGUGGAUAACCUACCUAUAAGACUGGGAUAACUUCGGGAAACCGGAGCUAAUACCGGAUAAUAUUUUGAACCGCAUGGUUCAAAAGUAAAAGACGGUCUUGCUGUCACUUAUAGAUGGAUCCGCGCUGCAUUAGCUAGUUGGUAAGGUAACGGCUUACCAAGGCAACGAUGCAUAGCCGACCUGAGAGGGUGAUCGGCCACACUGGAACUGAGACACGGUCCAGACUCCUACGGGAGGCAGCAGUAGGGAAUCUUCCGCAAUGGGCGAAAGCCUGACGGAGCAACGCCGCGUGAGUGAUGAAGGUCUUCGGAUCGUAAAACUCUGUUAUUAGGGAAGAACAUAUGUGUAAGUAACUGUGCACAUCUUGACGGUACCUAAUCAGAAAGCCACGGGUAACUACGUG